CACAACAACAAACAGGUUCAGUAACCACCAGUUAAGCAACAAUAUCCAGUAAUGGAAAUCCCAGUGAACUUUCGGCAGGAAACCACAACACUCAACUGAACCAGUGUUCAAAACCCAACAGAAUAGCCCAGUAACAGAUUGAAACCCAACAAACAAACACCAAUAACAACACUACUUAAAUACCAAUAAUAUUAGAAAACAAACCAGACCCACGGAGAAGUAACUAGUUGCCAAAAGAGGUAACUUCUAAUUUUUUGAACACUAAAAAAAACUUCAAGCUUCAAUGAAACAAUAGCUCUCACUGAUUUCAAUAGUGAAAGGAAACAGAACGUCUUCAGUUUUUUAACUCUCAAAAAUCUCGAAUUCUUAAGAUUCAAAAGCCCUAUUUGUGUUUCUGUUUAAGUUCUAAU
rnacentral:lncRNA from 1 species